UUGCACGCUGGCGGCCUGCUUUACACAUGCAAGUCGAACGGUAACAGGCCUUCGGGUGCUGACGAGUGGCGAACGGGUGAGUAAUGCAUCGGAACGUACCCAGAGGUGGGGGAUAACGCAGCGAAAGCUGUGCUAAUACCGCAUGUGAUCUGAGGAUGAAAGCGGGGGACCGAGCAGCAAUGUUUGGCCUCGCGCCUUUGGAGCGGCCGAUGUCGGAUUAGCUAGUUGGUGGGGUAAAGGCCUACCAAGGCGACGAUCCGUAGCUGGUCUGAGAGGACGACCAGCCACACUGGGACUGAGACACGGCCCAGACUCCUACGGGAGGCAGCAGUGGGGAAUUUUGGACAAUGGGCGCAAGCCUGAUCCAGCAAUGCCGCGUGCGGGAAGAAGGCCUUCGGGUUGUAAACCGCUUUUGGCAGGAACGAAACGGUGUCCGCUAAUACCGGGCGCUAAUGACGGUACCUGCAGAAUAAGCACCGGCUAACUACGUG
rnacentral:rRNA from 1 species